GACGAACGCUGGCGGCAUGCCUAACACAUGCAAGUCGAACGAGACCUUCGGGUCCAGUGGCGUACGGGUGCGUAACGCGUGGGAACCUGCCCUUACGUUCGGAAUAACUCCUCGAAAGGGGUGCUAAUACCGGAUAAUGUCUUCGGACCAAAGAUCUAUCGCCUUUCGAUGGUCCCUCGUUGGAUUAGCUAGUUGGUAGGGUAAAAGCCUACCAAGGCGACGAUCCAUAGCUGGUCUGAGAGGAUGAUCAGCCACACUCGGACUGAGACACGGCCCCGACUCCUACUGGAGGCAGCAGUGGGGAAUAUUGGACAAUGGGCGAAAGCCUGAUCCAGCAAUGCCGCGUGAGUGAUGUAGGCCUUAGCGUUGUAAAGCUCUUUUACCCGGGAUGAUAAUGACAGUACCGGGAGAAUAAGCUCCGGCUAACUCCGUG
rnacentral:rRNA from 1 species